ACUCCGGAGCCUUUUUGACAAGUACUCAACCAAUCUUCCUUCUUCUGGUGGUUUUUGGGGUUGCAAUGUUUCGAUCUUUGUUGUGUAAAUCAGGGGGGAUUCUGAGAAGGACGACCGGCAUCAUCAAUGGAGAAUCUUCUUCUUCAACAUUAUUAGCAGCUAAGUAUUUUCUCUUUACACAACAAAAUCAAAAUGUUUUUGUAAUUUCAAAAUCUAGGGUUACUUCCAUCUUUAAUUCCUUCUAUACUACUAGUAAUAAUGGUAAUAGCAAUGUUACUUCUAGCGAUUUUGAGUCUGAUUCUUCACAUGUGGUUUCUUAUCUGAUUAGUUCAUGUGGAUUAUCACAAACUGAAGCAAUUAUUGCUUCUAAAAAAAUCAAAUUCAAAACCACAACCAAACCAGAUUCAGUCUUAACCCUACUUAAGACUUACGGAUUUACUGAAUCCCACAUUUCUAAAUUAAUCACUAAGCAUCCAUCCAUCCUCUUGUCAAAACCAGAUAAAACCCUUAAACCCAAACUUGAUUUCUUCAGAUCAAAAGGGCUUUAUGAAAUUGAGCUUGCCAAUUUCAUCUCAACUGUCCCUGGAUUACUGAUGGAAAGCUUAAAUAAAAAAAUAAUUCCUUCCUUUGAUAAACUUAGGAGCCUUGUUCAGUAUGAUGAAAGCGUCAUUAAAAUGAUUCCAAGAAAUUCUUGGAUUCUCAGGGAAAGUCAAGUUCAAAAAGUGAUGGUCAACAUAGAGCUUUUGAGAAAUCAAGGUGUCCCUCAAACUAAUAUUCCUAACUAUCUAAUCCACAACCCAAGAGCAUUUACUGGAGAGGCGGAUAGUUUUAAAGAGAUUGUAGAAAAGGUUAAAGGUAUGGGUUUCCAUCAUUUACAAACCACAUUUCUUAAAGCUGUAGUUGUAUUUACACAAAUUAGUGAAGUCAAUUGGAGAAAUAAGAUGGAUGUUUACAAGAGAUGGGGUUGGUCUGAGGAUCAAAUUCAAUCUGCAUUUAGGAAAAAUCCCGGUUGUAUGGUGACUUCUGAGAAGAAGAUUAUGGCGAUUAUGAAUUUCCUUGUGAAUGAAAUGGGUUAUGAUUCAUCAAUUAUUGCUGAAACCCCGGUAGUAUUUAAUUAUAGUCUGAAGGGGAGGAUUAUCCCAAGGUGUUCUGUCAUUAGCAUUUUAGUCUCCAGAGGUCUAAUCAAGGAAAAAAUUGCUAUAAGCACAUUCACAAAAAAAGCAGACAAGUAUUUUUUGGAUAAUUUUGUAAUAAAGUAUGAGCAACAAGUUCCUGAACUCAUGAAGAUAUUCCAAGGUCAGUUGAAUUACCAACAGCUGCUUCAGAACUGAAGGAUUUGGGAGAUGAAUGAGCAGUAACGGAUACAUGAAUUUCGAUUGCGAAACUAAAGGGUGUAUUCUUUGGGCAGUCCUGGAAGGGUAUGCCUCGAUUGAGAGAAAAGAAGCAUAUAUUGGUUCCUUGUAUUAGAGCCAAGGAUUGGGAAGCAGAUGAGGGUGGUGCUCCAGUGGUCGAUUUUGGUGUUACUGAGUACGGUAUUGCUGGUGUGAUCUCUAAUGAUCAAUGUGGUGGGGAUGCCCAAUGGGGAUUAAUCCUCAAAACUGGUGCGGAUUGGACUGAUGCAGGUGUUCCUAUGGUUGGAGUAAAUGCAGCUUGGGAGUCAAGUGGCCCCAUCAAUACAUGCUGUUGAUGCCAUAGUUAUGCCUCCAGCUGCAGGUUGGGAAUGAGAGGAGCAGUAAUGUCUUACAUUUUUUUGCCUGGUCUUUUCUCAUGUACUUGGAGUCUUAUACAGAACCUUGUUUUUCUCUGUUGAACUGUUUUGAUAGUUGAAAAGAUGUUUUGAUUUUUCUUAGCUCCUCCAUACCCUGAGAAUAGCUAAUGAGUGGUUUUGAGAAUUAAUCAGUCAGUGCUCCAUGCACCUCCUGAAGCAUCAACAUAAUUGUCAUUGCUGCUAGGAGAACUGAGCAGGCUGUUGAAAGAGUUUGGAAGGCAGAGAAAGCACAAGUCUGAUGAUCAUAUUGUCAUUGCUCCUAGACUGAUGUUGAGAGCAAGUCUCAGAAUAUUAAAGACGACAAUCAACAAUUUAUUCUUUCUAGAUAAAUCUUGCGUGAAUACUUAUAGAUCACGAAAAAACC